AAAAUUCGAUCCACCUUCUCCGUUCUUCUCCAUUCUUCCAUCAUACCUUGCCCUCUCUCACUACCGUUGAAGGUCCGUUCUUCUGUUGUGCCUUGCUCUCGCCACCAUCUCCCUCACCGCCAUUCUUCCAUUUUCGCAUUAUGUGCAACGGAGGAACUCAAACAGAGGAAGGGAAGUUGAACAUUAUUUUAGCUAAUUUGAUCGUAGAGACAUAGGCAACAUGUAUAAAAAUGGUAGUUGGACAUUAUUACGAACCGCAUCCAAAGAAAUAUAAGCUUGCUUGAAACAGAAAGAACCAUAACUCACAUGGGGAUGGUCUACAAGGUUCAUAACUACUCCUCUUACUACAGGACGCUUACCUAGCCAACAUUUAGAUCCGACUCUACCCAAACUUUUCUGGUUUGCCCCAGCAUUCCCCACUUGUCCGACUGUUGCUGAGCAAUUUUUGGAUAUCAAACGUCUCUAGUGGUUCAGAAAAUUGAUUUCGAAGAGAGGAGCAGAAAAUGACAAAAUCGAUAACCGAAUAGGUAAGUCAUAGAAAGUUUUUUACUAACAUAUUAGGUAAUAUGCAUGUGAGAAACUUUCUAUGGCUUACCUGUUCAAUUUUCGAUUUUGUCAUUUUCUGUUCCUCUCUUUCAAAUCAAUUUUUCUGGAACCACUAGAGUAAGAGUUCUUUCUGUUUGAAGCAAUCCCGUGUUUCUCUCGACACAACUUGUAAUAAUGUUCGAUUUUCCUCUUUGCACAUCUUGUCCAUGUCCCUAUGAUCAUACUAGCUACAGUGAUGUUGAUGCAAUGUGCAGAAGUUGAGAAACUGGCGUCGACGCUUUGAAUUAUGUUUAAGUUAUCAUUUUUACUUUGUAUCAUUGAUGUAAUUUAUAUUUGAACUACUUAGAACGUGUACUUUUUUAAUAUUUUAAUUAAUAAUAAAUUUAACUUGGUAUUUUUGUAAUA